GCCAAGACGCGACGGGGCUAACCGCCGCUACGAGACAAGCCAGAGCGAGCAAGGGAAAGCCGGCGGCGCGGAGUAGGACUGAGGAGGCGGUGGACUGGUGGUGGGUGGCGGCCGCAGCCCUAGCUUCUCACGAGACCGCCGCUGCCGGCCGUGGUGGUUAGUUCCGUGCCGUUCUCCAGCGGCUCGAAGUUCAAUGGAUGGAAUGAAUUCGAUCUGCCAUUCCCUUUCCAGGAUAUACGACUCAUGGUUCUGGAAACACACCUUCUAUGCUAAAAAAUGAAGAUGAUUCAGUAAGGGACCAAAAUGUCGAUCUUGAUUCUUGAUGAUGAUCACAUUGAAAACCAGAUGGCAUUUGAUAUCAUCAGUGAUCUGGUUGACAUGAAUAGUAAUCCAAGCAAAGAAAACCUGGAAAAUGGUGAACCUUUUGUUGGCAUGGAGUUUGAAUAAGAGGAAGCUGCAAAGGUGUUCUACAUAGCUUACGCUAGUCAGGUAGGUUUCUCUGUGUGCAUUAGCAAGUCCAGGCGCUCAAGGAAUGAUGAGUCUAUUAUCAUGAGGCGUUUCGUUUGUUCGAAGGAGGAUUUCCAUAAUAAGAAGCAAAACUAUGACACUGGUAAGAGAGAGAGAAGUCAUGCAACAAUAAGGGAGGGUUGUCAUGCAAUGAUUGAAGUAACACAGAAGUACUAUGGGUGGUGGGUUGUGAUCAAGUUGAUCAAAGAACACAAUCAUGUCUUGGAAGCUCCAAGCAUAGUGAGAUAUGUUGCACCUGAGAAAUAUGCACAGUUCGAACCAUUUGUAGGAAUGGAGUUUCCUUCUCAUGAAGCUGCCUAGACAUUCUAUUAUGCCUAUGCCAGCCGUAUGGGCUUUGAAGUGCGAAUCAGAUUAUCCUGCUGUUCACCUAAGGAUGGGACAUUUGUAAUGUGGCGCUUUAAUUGCACCAAAGAAGGGGCUGAUUCCCGUGAAGAAAAUAAUAACGAGAACAAGAGAAAGAGAAAUCGGGCUGCUACAAAAGAAGGCUGCAAAGCAUCAUUUGAGAUAGUAAAAAGAGAACAGGAUAAAUGGGUUGUUUCCAAGCUUUUCUUGGCGCAUACACAUGAGUUGGCUGCUGUACAAGAUGAAGUACAUUACAUUCAGUCAAAUAGUGAGGUUGUUGUUCUUGCAAAGACUAGUGUUCUUCAAGGAAAUUGGAUUGCACCAACCAUGAAUCCACAGCUUGGAGAAUUGGGAAGAAAUUUUGAGGAACUAUCUCCAAAUAAUCAAGAAAUGAUAGAACCUUGCCGUUGUGAUUUUGGGCUGGAUGAUACCCAAAAGCUUCUUGGAUACUUCAAGCGGCUGAAUACUGAGAAUCCUACAUUUUCAUAUGCAUUUCAGGUUGACAAAAAUGAUUGCUUGACACAUGCCUUCUGGGCUGAUGCCAAAGUUAGAACAUCGUACUGCUAUUUUGGGGAUGGUGUUAGACUUGAGACAUCUUUUGUAGAGAAUGACGACGUUUUGCCAUUAGUUUUGUUAACUGGUACAUCACCUGCAAAGUGUAGUAUUUGGUUGUGCAUUACUUACUGAUUUCACAGAAUCCUCUUACAUUUGGUUCUUUCAAAACUGGAUUGCAGCAAUGGGUUCACACCAUCCUACAUCAUUAGCUACAAGUUAUAAUGAAGCCAUUGGUUCAGCAGCAGCAAAAGUAUUUCCUCAGACACACCUUCUGUAUUGUACUUCUCAGAUAUUAAACAGAUGCAAGGAAAAUUUGGUAAACGUAUAUUCUAGAUGUGCUUCUUUUGAAGAGGAAUUUGUUGUGUGCAUUCAUGAGCCUGAAACAACUGAAAUAUUUGAGUCAAGUUGGAAGAAGAUCCUUGAUAAAUUUGAUCUGGCAGCCAACCUAUGGCUCCAGUAUCUAUACAGAAUUUGACAAAGAUGGGUUCCUGUGUACUUCAAAGAUGUUUUUACUGCUGAACUUUCAGCAACUCAGAGACCUGAAAGCUUGGCAAGCUUCUUCAAGAAAUACUUCAACAAAACAACAACUUUGCCAAUCUUCAUCUCAUUAUUUGAACAUGUGAUGGCUGGAUGGGCAGAGAAGGAAGCUCUGGAAGAUCUGGCCACAUCUUUUACCAGACCUAUUUUAAGAACUCCCUCAAACAUGUUGAAACAGGUGUCAGAAAUAUACACGAGAACUGUCUUUAACAUCUUUGAGGAGGAAUUCGUCGAAUCAUUAGGAUAUUACGUUUCCAGCCUUAACAAUGAUGGGCCGAUUGCUGUGCAUAAAAGUCACAAAGGAGGACGCUGAAUCUUCAUUCACCGUCAGCUAUGACACCAUUGACAAGAGAGCUCAAUGCAGUUGCUGUAAGUUCGAGAGUUCUGGUAUUUUAUGUCGGCAUAUACUGAGGUUAUUCUUAGCUCUUGAUGUGCGUGCCAUACCAGAGUUUUACAUACUCAAACGGUGGACGAAAGAAGCGAAGAAUGGUUUUGUGUUGGAUAAAUGUUUGCGAUGUAGUGAGCUGCGCCACGAUGCCCUUAGAUAUGCCAGGGAAGGAUCAACAUCUGGGGAGGUUUUCACCUUUGCACAGCGAACUCUUCAGGCUGCCUUUUCUGACGUUAACAUGAAACAACAAAUUGUUAGUAGAUGUAGAAUGAGAUGAACAUGGCACUAUAGUGCAUUCUUUCUAUAGUCAUGGAGAUAAAGAUAGCUUUCCAGUGCCCUAUCUUUCCUCUGUUGCGUCAAUUCCUGCUUCAUGAACUAUGUGUUUGUAGCUACGGAUGAUUUCCCUGACGAAUUCAGUUUCUUGUCGUUUCA